AGAGUUUGAUCAUGGCUCAGGAUGAACGCUGGCGGUCUGCUUAACACAUGCAAGUCGAACGGAACUUUUCGGAGUUCAGUGGCGGACGGGUGAGUAACGCGUGAGAAUCUGCCUUCUGGUCGGGGACAACCACUGGAAACGGUGGCUAAUACCGGAUGAGCCUACGGGUAAAAGAUUUAUUGCCAGAAGAGGAGCUCGCGUCUGAUUAGCUAGUUGGUGAGGUAAAGGCUCACCAAGGCAUCGAUCAGUGGCUGGUCUGAGAGGAUGACCAGCCACACUGGGACUGAGACACGGCCCAGACUCCUACGGGAGGCAGCAGUGGGGAAUUUUCCGCAAUGGGCGAAAGCCUGACGGAGCAAGACCGCGUGAGGGAGGAAGGCUCUUGGGUUGUAAACCUCUUUUCUUGGGGAAGAAAAAAAUGACGGUACCCAAGGAAUCAGCAUCGGCUAACUCCGUGCCAGCAGCCGCGGUAAUACGGAGGAUGCAAGCGUUAUCCGGAAUUAUUGGGCGUAAAGCGUCCGCAGGUGGCACUUCAAGUCUGCUGUCAAAGGUCGGGGCUUAACCCCGGGAAGGCAGUGGAAACUGAAGCGCUAGAGUGUCGUAGGGGUAGAGGGAAUUCCCGGUGUAGCGGUGAAAUGCGUAGAGAUCGGGAAGAACAUCGGUGGCGAAAGCGCUCUACUGGACGACAACUGACACUCAGGGACGAAAGCUAGGGGAGCGAAUGGGAUUAGAUACCCCCGUAGUCC
rnacentral:rRNA from 1 species